ensembl:lncRNA
UGAAGAUGUAGAAUUCUCAGCUCCUCCUGCACCAUGCCUGCCUGGAUGCUGCCAUGUUCCCACCUUGAUGAUGAUGGACUGGACCUCUGAACCUGCAGAGCUGUCUGACGCCAUUGCCCGCAAGCUGGCAUUUCUGUCCUGGAGCCUCAGCGCCAUGGCCCAACCCUCCUCCGGGGGCUGGGCCUUUCAGGACUACGUCUGCAGGCAUUGUGCUGAGUAGCAGAGAGCUUGGAGAAGCCCUGACAGCAUCCUGUACACAAGGAUGCGGGAGAUUCCUCAUCUUGACUGCAGCCUGCUCUCCCUUCGACAGAGAGAAGCAAAGACCUCGUGCCACAGGGCCCAGUGGAGACAAGGUUAAUGGAUGGGUGACAGGUUGGGCAAAGGCGGGAAGAAAUAUGAAGUGGGAAUGUUCCAUGCAUCCCUUUCUCUUUGUGGCACUCG